rnacentral:rRNA from 1 species
GUCCACGCCCUAAACGAUGGACACUAGGUGUGGGAGGUAUCGACCCCUUCCGUGCCGUAGCAAACGCAUUAAGUGUCCCGCCUGGGGAGUACGGUCGCAAGAUUAAAACUCAAAGGAAUUGACGGGGGCCCGCACAAGCGGUGGAGCAUGUGGUUUAAUUCGACGCAACGCGAAGAACCUUACCUGGGCUUGACAUCCCUGGAACCCCUAUGAAAGUAGGGGGUGCCUAGCAAUAGGAGCCAGGAGACAGGUGCUGCAUGGCUGUCGU